UGGCCCAGUAAUUUCAGAGAUGAAGAUUUGUGUAAAAGAUAACAAACAUUUACGAAAAAUUGUUAAAAAUUGACUAUAAAGGUCAAUUACUCCUUAAGGGGUCAGCUGACAAUUUUGGUCUUGUUGACUUAUUUGUAGAUCUAACUUUACUGAACAUUAUUGCUGUCUACAGUUUUUCUCUAUCUAUAAUAAUAUUCAAGAUAAUAACAAAAAGCCGCAAAAUUUCUUUAAAAAUUACAAAUUCAGGGGCAGCAACCCAACAACAGGUUGUCCAAGUCAUCUGAACAUUUCAGAGCAGAUAGAUC
rnacentral:lncRNA from 1 species